rnacentral:ncRNA from 1 species
AGUAAUGUGAUAGCUGAAAGAAGCGAUAGUAAAACUUCGUACUGACGAACAGAAAUCAUCUCAGGCGGGUAUGGUGGAUAAGUGUGCAAAACAACAUGAAGUCCAAUAGCUAGACGGAACCAUAAACGUAAAGAU